GUGAGAGCGAGCAAGAUCGGGUUGUAGCCGAAGAGAGCUCGAGAGAGGUUCUUUGGCAAGAUUGACGCCGCCUCCCCCCCACCCCUCUCUCUCCACGGGAGAUUUUUGCCACGCGGCGCCCGGAAGGCUGGCAGAGGGAUGCCCUGCCGCGAAAGUUAGGUAAUUCUGAACUCUUCACCUGGAGCUCUUGAAAGAGAACCGUGGUGAUGCAGUGGUUGGAAUGCAGUACUGCAGGCUACAUCUGCUGAUCGCAAGCUGCCAGCAAUUUGACUGUUCGGGUCUCACCGGCUAAAGAUUGACUCAGCCUUCCAUCCUUCUGAAACUGGGAACUCUAUUAUCAAGCUGCAGCCAUGAUGUGACUUAAGGACUGGAUUCAGUUGAAAAAUAAAAGGAUACUAAUGAUAGAAGGCCACGACCUCCAACUUGGCUGGCAUGCCUUUCUCUGGGAGAGGAAAAAUAAAUCCCAUUCAUUUUUUCAGAGGCACAUAUUAAGAGAUGCCCUAUUAGGAACCUGAGGAAAAAAACAACAACAACCAUUGUGAAGAUCCCAAUUUGGUUAUCGACGAUGGAAGCAAUGAUUUACCCAAAUACUAUAGAUCUUAAUAAAAUGUCCAUCUCACCAGCACAACUCUUUGACUAUACACAGGCACCUGCAAGGGAGUGAAUACAGCGCAUCACAGAGUCUACCCCUUUUGUACUUGCAAUGGACAUACAAAAAGGCAAGACUGAUGUCAUAAUGCAGAUUUGUCAUUUGGAGUCAUUAGGUCCUAUGGUGAGGAACGGGUAUCUGCAUGCUGUAUUGUAGGUUGAAUUGAAUCAAAAUAUUUUCCCAGACUGUCCUUCCUCCAGUUGGCACUUUCUUUGUUAUAUAAUCUGCUCAUCCAAGUCCACACUACCUUGAAUGCAGAAUGUACUCUUGGAACUGAAGAUGAUUUUGAGUAAAUAAGCUAUGACCCUGUGUGGAGACACAAAAAACAACUGAGUUGGAUCAGUUUGGACCCACCUUCUCUUACAUAUGGAAGUUAACCUUGGAUUCUAGACCACCAUACAUUGAUCAGCUGGAUUUACACACCAUGCUAAACUACAGUGUUAUUAAUUGACAUGUAUUGAAGAACCCACAAUGGCCUGGUUUGCUCAUCAUGCUAAGUCAGAAAUCAGAGUCUACAAACUGUAGGCAUGGUUUUUAACCACAGAAGGAGUUAAGACACAUUAAGAACCAGCAAAUAUCUCAAAAGACAUCUGAUGGGCUAAAAUGCUUUCUGCUUAUUCAAAGCAUGAGCUCAUGUGGCAACGGUGACAUCUCCAGAUCCUUUCUGAAGCACACAUUAAGAUAAAAACUCAUUAUUCUGAGUCAACAAGCUAAUUUCCAGAGCUUUGAUCGCAAUUCUUUGAAUUGCACAUCUUAUGAAAGGGAAAGACAGGGAUGUCUUUUCAUAUUUAAUGAAAAGAUCUUAGGCCACUAAAGCUGCCUAUUAAGAAAGACUGGCCUGAAGUCACAUCUUGAACAGUCACAGAGGACUCUGAACAUUCUUUCAAAGCCUCAAGAGGUCACUGGAGUCAUGCUGGGAUGAGAUUGAAUCAGAUGCUUUCGUCUGUGUUUUUAAUUCCACCUGUCAUAACAAGGAAAUUAAACUAUCUGCUGAUUUCUCUCUCUCUUUCUAUCAUAGAAUGCCACCACCACAACUAUAUACACACAUGCAGACUUGAAUGUACCAAUGAGCUCAGUAACAGUUUUCUACUACUAUAGAGACUGUCUAGUCAUUGGAAACCCUUGGCUGGGUUUGGAUGGUCUCAUUCUUCUAUAUAAUUAUAACAAAUAUAAAUAUGGAAAAUAUUGCAUAUAAAUGCUGUCCUACAUAUAUCAUAAUUAGUUUACUUUAUAUUGGAGUCCGUGCCUAUGUACUUGACACUGCUGUUUUAGACCAAUGAUGCUAUUCCCCAGGUUGGCUGUUUUAAUUGCCACAUUGCAGAGCCUCUAGUCUAUAAUAUGAUAAAACAAGCCAGUCCUGGUUAACUAACAUUACUAGUUUAGCUGAAUUCCUAAUUUCUAAUGAAAAGAGGAAAACAAUGAUUUUCAGAUGACACCAGGUUGGCAGGAAUAGCCAACACUGUAUCUUAGGUUUAAGAUACAGAAGGAUCUCAAAAA